ensembl:lncRNA
AUUUCGAGUUUUUGGGCUUCAUGCUGUGCAGCCAAGCUGUUGCAGACCUGCAUCUCUUCUUUGCUGUGUGAUGCCUUAAGCCGUAUGAAUUCUGCCUGAAGCAGCACUGGGAACAGAUUAUCUUUCAGCAUAAUUCCAUGAGCUUCCAUGGUCAGGAUGGAAAGCUUUCAGCUGUGGGCCUAUCUUUCUCAGCUAAGAGGUAAUGCAGCCUUAACAGGUGGAAAGGCUUAGUCUGAUCCAUAAGGAUUGAACAGCUGAGCUUCUAGAAGCAGUAUGCAGGUGUGCACAGCCAUUGUGGUUAGUAAGCCCAAAUCUUUGGAGGGGUCCUGAACUUCACUGGAAGCCUGAACAGGAGUGCCUUGCUGAGAUGACACUACCCAGAUGUCCUUGCUCCUGUUAGCUGGCACUUUAGUACACAGUCUUUCUGAAGUGGCUUAUGUUCAGGUGGUGACCAUCUUUAGCAGUUUCAAAAACAGUACAUGUACUGAACCCAACAGGGGAUGAUCCUUCUGAGCGCAGAGGCAUACAGUUCUGUUUAUCACAACCUGUUCGUGACAGGUAUGAGUACCAUCUUUGUUAUCCAUGAGUAGAUCCGUUCUGCAGUGCAGCUCUGCAAGCAAAUGACAGUUGUCAUGGAUUUCCUCCAUCUUUGUCCCUACCUUGUGUAGAAAACCUACAGAUUUCAUUGGAACUUGGCACUGGAUGCUACUUGAAGAAGCUUGAUGUCAAUGAAUCUUUCUGAAUUAGGACUUAGGAUUUUCUAUCUGGAUACUGGAACAUAUUGUACUCCAAUCAGAGCUCUUCAUAUCUUCUAAUCUUUGCAUUCUUCAGACUAAAACAGUGUGAAGCAUGUGGAGCACUUUAUCCUGUAAUACAACCCAGUUUUUGCCAUCAUGUAAAGUUAGUGUAUUCUACAGUGUUGGGUACAAUAUCAUUAGAAAACAAGAAAUAAAAGAACGUUCUUUUCCUGACUUUGAAAUGCAUUGUAACAUGGUAAAUCCUACCUUUUCCUCUAAAUCCUGCUGUUCUACAAUAUAGUUAUUAUGGGGGGCUGUUUUAUAUCAACUGAGACUUUCUGCAAGGAUUACUUAUCCUCUCUGCACCCAUCCCUUGUUUUGGUUUCUGUAUGUCGUUCAACUGAUAGUUGAGCAGAUUG